ensembl:lncRNA
CUCAGACUUAGUGAUGUGUAGGGAGUGUCCGGUCACGGCCAUAAAUUUUUACAGCUUCUUUAAGGUUCCUGUUAGCCUGGCUAACAAGCUUUCUCCUUGCCAAGUCAUCAGUUUAGUAAGAGCAUCCUGAUCUCUGCAGUGUCAUGGUUUUCCAUGUUGUCUCCACAUUUACGGUCUUCACAUACACCUGGAUAUACUGUCUGCACUUCUCACCAGCUGUGUCAGUAAGCCACAUCCUACUUCCACAAGAGAUCACAUCAUUUCCUGUUUAUUCAGCCUCCAGGCAAAGAAGCUGAGCAAUCUGAUUG